AUAUUUGAUAUGGAACAGGCGAACAGGAAACUACUAUCGCCGGGCUAGUAUAAUUAGCAGCAGGUAUGUAAACUUGCGGGACUAUU
rnacentral:ncRNA from 2 species